rnacentral:rRNA from 1 species
AGAGUUUGAUUAUGGCUCAGAAGGCAGGGAUGCAGCUGCCUUACCAUGCAAGUCGUACGGCAGCACGGGAGCAAUCCUGGUGGCGAGUGGCGAACGGGUGAGUAAUACAUCGGAACGUGCCCUGUAGUGGGGGAUAACUAGUCGAAAGACUAGCUAAUACCGCAUACGACCUGAGGGUGAAAGUGGGGGACCGCAAGGUCUCAUGCUAUACGAGCGGCCGAUGUCUGAUUAGCUAGUUGGUGGGGUAAAGGCCUACCAAGGCGACGAUCAAUAGCUGGUCUGAGAGGACGAUCAGCCACACUGGCGACUGAUACACUGACCAGACUCCUACGGGAGGCAGCACUGGGGAAUUUUGGACAAUGGGGGCAACCCUGAUCCAGCAAUGCCGCGUGUGUGAAGAAGGCCUUCGGGUUGUAAAGCACUUUUGUCCGGGAAGAAAUCUCACCUGAUAGUACCGGGUGUGGAUGACGGUACCGGAAGAAUAAGGACCGGCUAACUACGUGCCAGCAGCCGCGGUAAUACGUAGGGUCCAAGCGUUAAUCGGAAUUACUGGGCGUAAAGCGUGCGCAGGCGGUUGUGCAAGACCGAUGUGAAAUCCCCGGGCUUAACCUGGGAAUUGCCUUGGUGACUGCACGGCUAUAGUGUGUCAGAGGUGGGUAGAAUUCUGCGUGUAACCGUGAAAUGCCUCCAGAUGUGAACGAAUACCUAUGGCUGAUGCAGCCCCCUGGGAUAACUCUGACACUCAUGCACAAAUCCAUGGGGAGCAGACAGGAUUAGAUACCCUGGUAGUCCACGCCCUAGACGAUGUCAACUACUUGUUGAGCAUGCAUUUCUUACUACGUACCUACGCGUGAAAUGAUCGCUGGGAGUAGGUCCACGAUAAACUCCAUGAUUGACGGGG